UACGAAGGGAGCUAGCGUUGUUCGGAAUAACUGGGCGUAAAGGGUGCGUAGGUGGGUGUGUGCGUUAGAUGUGAAAUCCCCGGGCUUAACCUGGGAACUGCAUUUAAUACGGCACAUCUAGAGUGCGAGAGGGGAAAGCGGAAUGGCGAGUGGAGCAGUGAAAUGCAUUGAGAUUCGCUAGAACACCAGAGGCGAAGGCGGCUUCUGGCUCGCUACUGACACUAAGGCACGAAAGCGUGGGGAGCAAACAGG
rnacentral:rRNA from 1 species